AAGAUUUAUGGUGCUCGUGUUCGGGUUGAUUCCAUGGCUAAAGUUGCAGAGCUUGAGGCUUCCGAGAAGGAUAAAAUGAAGGAAAAAGUGCAAAAGAUCAUAUCACAUGGAAUCAACUGCUUUGUCAACCGGCAGUUGAUAUACAACUUCCCUGAGGAACUUUUUGCUGAUGCUGGUAUACUUGCCAUUGAGCAUGCUGAUUUUGAUGG
rnacentral:misc_RNA from 1 species